GUGGGGAAUUUUGGACAAUGGGCGAAAGCCUGACCCAGCAACGCCGCGUGAAGGAAGAAGGUUUUCGGAUCGUAAACUUCUAUCCUUGGUGAAGAUAAUGACGGUAGCCAAGAAGGAAGCCCCGGCUAACUACGUGCCAGCAGCCGCGGUAAUACGUAGGGGGCAAGCGUUGUCCGGAAUGAUUGGGCGUAAAGGGCGCGUAGGCGGCCCGGUAAGUCUGAAGUGAAAGUCCUGCUUUUAAGGUGGGAAUUGCUUUGGAUACUGUCGGGCUUGAGUGCAGGAGAGGUAAGCGGAAUUCCCGGUGUAGCGGUGAAAUGCGUAGAGAUCGGGAGGAACACCAGUGGCGAAGGCGGCUUACUGGACUGUAACUGACGCUGAGGCGCGAAAGUGUGGGGAGCAAACAGGAUUAGAUACCCUAGUAGUCC
rnacentral:rRNA from 1 species